CACGUAGGGCGCAAGCGUUGUCCGGAAUUAUUGGGCGUAAAGAGCUCGUAGGCGGCUGCUCAAGUCGAAUGUGAAAACUCGAGGCUCAACCUCGAGCCUGCAUUCGAUACUGGGCGGCUAGAGUCUGGUAGGGGGAUCUGGAAUUCCUGGUGUAGCGGUGGAAUGCGCAGAUAUCAGGAGGAACACCGGUGGCGAAGGCGGGAUCCUGGGCCAGUACUGACGCUGAGGAGCGAAAGCGUGGGGAGCAAACAGG
rnacentral:rRNA from 1 species